rnacentral:rRNA from 1 species
GACGAACGCUGGCGGCGUGCUUAACACAUGCAAGUCGAACGGAAAGGCCCUGCUUUUGUGGGGUGCUCGAGUGGCGAACGGGUGAGUAACACGUGAGUAACCUGCCCUUGACUUUGGGAUAACUUCAGGAAACUGGGGCUAAUACCGGAUAGGAGCUCCUGCUGCAUGGUGGGGGUUGGAAAGUUUCGGCGGUUGGGGAUGGACUCGCGGCUUAUCAGCUUGUUGGGGGGGUAGUGGCUUACCAAGGCUUUGACGGGUAGCCGGCCUGAGAGGGUGACCGGCGACAUUGGGACUGAGAUACGGCCCAGACUCCUACGGGAGGCAGCAGUGGGGAAUAUUGCACAAUGGGGGGAAGCCUGAUGCAGCAACGCCGCGUGCGGGAUGACGGCCUUCGGGGUGUAAACCGCUUUCGCCUGUGACGAAGCGUGAGUGACGGUAAUGGGUAAAGAAGCACCGGCUAACUACGUG